GUCGGGGACACGGGACCUGGAUGGGACAAUAUAGGGGGGCACAGGGACCCUGGGGUUUGCCCCUUCGGGUGUCUGCAGGGCUGAAGGAGGGCGGCGCUGGCAGAGCUGCUGCUGCCUCUGGGACCCUGCCCUGCCUGGCACAGGGCACAGGGCUCCAGCUGGGAGGGACUUUACUGCCCACACUGCUGCUCAUUUGUCAUUUUCCUUCUUAGACUUUCUUCUACUUGUCGCUGCAUUCCUCAUUGGAAUCGUCAUUAGACCUGCACUUGUAGGUGAGAGUCUGGCACAGGAUGAGCAACUCUCAGCUUUGCUGGUGGUGCUGCCGAGGGAAGGGACAGCUCUGGGCAGUGCCUGGAAUGGGGUUCUGGCUGCCCCCGGUGCCGCAGCCCUGCACGCUGCUCCUCUCCUGCCGCCCAGGGCUGUCCCCGUCCCUGCAGCCCCAGCCCUCGCUGCCCGCUCUGCUCCCUGNAGAGUUAAGAAGAAAGUGAAACGGAGCGAUGGCUCCGAAUUUCCCGGAAAGCAGCUGACCCGCAGCUGCCUUUCCUGGCGGGAGCUUUUCCGAACGCCAUUGGACCCUCAGAGCGUAAACGAGACUUUGGUGUCGUGGAGUGUCGCGGUACCGAGAUUAGAGCAGAAUCAUCGAGGAUCUCGUCCCAUCCAGAUGACCAUGGGGGCGAAUAUAAUUAUCAUUAAAGCUGUCAUUGGAGCCACAGUGGGAGUAGGUGAGGAUCUGGCACGGGAUGAGCAGCGCUCGGGUUCACUGCCUGGUUCCAGCCACGCGUGGUCCUGGGGACUGGACUGGGGGCUGCAAGUACCAGGGCUGGGGAGGAUUGGGGUGCAGGUGGGAGGAAGAGGGGAGGAGGGGCAGCUCCGGCCACUGUCUGGAAUGGAGUUGUGUCUGCCCCCGGUGCCGCAGCCCUGCACGCUGCUCCUCUCCUGCCGCCC
ensembl:lncRNA